GCCGGCCUGCCUUGUGCGAUUUGUUGCGGCCGUAAUUAUCCUACUGGUUAUGAAACGGGAGCCCGGGUUGGCCGGUGGAUGGCAGACCUCCCGGCUUUGCCGGAUGCAGGGAGCGUGAAGCCUGCCAUAGGGCACCCACCUGCUUGAAAGAGUGGGUAUAACUAGGCCGCAGACGGCAAGGCGGGUCGUCU
rnacentral:other from 1 species